GAGGGAGGGAGUGUGUUUGGAGAGAAGACUUCCAGCUGCUGGUCCACUACCCAAUUGGCUGCAAUGGGCAGAGCUGAGAGUAUCUGAAGCCAGGAGCCAGGAGCCUCGCCGGGAUCUCCUCAUGGGUGCAGAGGCACAAGGACUUGGGUGUCUUCUGCUGCCUUCCCAGACCCCAGCAGAGAGCUGCAUCGGAAGUGGAGCAGCCGUACUCGAACCGGCGCCCCUAUGGGGUGGCGUCACUGGGGGCCUUGGCUUUACCCGCUACCUCACAGUGCCGACCCUCCCGGAAGCCGUUCACUGUGGGAUCCAGCUGUCUGCUAACAGGCCUGGGAAAGCAGAAGGAGACGGCCCAAGGACUUAGGCCCCUGAACCCAGAAUGGAGCAGCGGCUAAAGUCCCUGGCUUCUGCUUCAGCCACUGGCUUCUGUCCCAGUCCCGGCCUUUGUAGCCAUCUCGGGGGUGAACCUCCACAUGGAUGAUCACUCAGAGAGAGAGAGAGAGAGAGUGUGAGAGAGUGCUGGCGAGGCCCCCUGUACUGCCUCUCUCCCCAAGUGGCUCCAGUGAAUGGCCAGCGCUGGGCCAGGCAGAAGCCAGGAGGCAGGAGGCAGGAGGCAGGAGGCAGGAGGCAGGAGCUGCAAUUAGGACUCCCGUGAGACAUGGAGGUGGGGUCCAGAGAACGCGGGCUCUCAGGGUCCGCGUCCCUGGGUCACCGCCUGGAGAGGCGGGACUGGAAGCGGCCCUGGGGCUUCAGACGCUGGAUGCGGCAGUGUGCAGAAGCGUCCUGGGUUGCCAUGGUGAUGGCCUGUGGGGAGUGCGUCUGCGCCUGGCGCUGUGACCAGGAAGUGCACCGGCACGCCUGGCGCCAGCUGCCCCGCGGUGCUCGCUGGGAGUCAGCGCCACGUCUACUCCUGCCAGAGCACCCGUGCAAGCCGUGAGGAGAGGAGCCUUCUUCGACGCUGCUGGCCGAGCCUGAGCCUGAGGGAGACCCAGCGGCCCCCGGGUCAGGCCGGCAUCAGGAGAGGCUGCGUGUCGGAGGCUGCCGCGCCAUUUCCCAGGUGCGUUUCUAUUCUUCGGCCCCUUCGGGAAGCAACGGCCUUCGCGGACCUCUGUCUCGCGGGCAGACCGCCCCCCUGCCCCCUUUGAGAGCACCCGUGCAAGCCGUGAGGAGAGGAGCCUUCUUCGACGCUGCUGGCCGAGCCUGAGCCUGAGGGAGACCCAGCGGCCCCCGGGUCAGGCCGGCAUCAGGAGAGGCUGCGUGUCGGAGGCUGCCGCGCCAUUUCCCAGGUGCGUUUCUAUUCUUCGGCCCCUUCGGGAAGCAACGGCCUUCGCGGACCUCUGUCUCGCGGGCAGACCGCCCCCCUGCCCCCUUUGAGAGCACCCGUGCAAGCCGUGAGGAGAGGAGCCUUCUUCGACGCUGCUGGCCGAGCCUGAGCCUGAGGGAGACCCAGCGGCCCCCGGGUCAGGCCGGCAUCAGGAGAGGCUGCGUGUCGGAGGCUGCCGCGCCAUUUCCCAGGUGCGUUUCUAUUCUUCGGCCCCUUCGGGAAGCAACGGCCUUCGCGGACCUCUGUCUCGCGGGCAGACCGCCCCCCUGCCCCCUUUGAGGUGAGUGACGCGCGGCUGUUGCAGUGUCCCGCUGGGGAUCUGGGCUGCAGGCGUGCCUGUUGCUCUUGGGUCCCGAAGGCUCGGGUGGAGUCGCGGUCGUGCAGUGCGGACGGUCUGGAAGGGUCCCCAGGGUGCGAGCAGCUGUGCGAGAGCAGAGGUGGCUGGGUCUCCUCCCGGAACGGCCUUGUGUUCUUGUCUGUUUGCUUUUCGAGGGCCCAGCCGCCCUGCUCUAGACCUGUGAGUGUUGUCGGGAGGAAUGAGAGCGAAAGUGCGUGUCUGUGUCCUGGUCUAGGAGGACAGUUUCGGGUUCCUGGCAUUGGCUGUGAUGUUAGCGCUCUGCGGGUUUUUCAUGAAAGAGCCUUGUCAGGCCGAGGUAUACCUUCCUUCCUAAUUUGAUGAUUUGGUUUUUAGUAUCGCACAAGUCACGGGAGUUUUUGUGGAAUAGGUUUUCUGUGUCUGUCGGGAUACUUGGUGGGUUUUGCCCAUGUUUGGUGUGUUCUGUGAUAGAUUGAUUUUGUAUGGUAGAAAUGCAUCCUUGCAUUUCUGGAGUAACUCUGAGUUGCACACAGUGUGCUAAGCUUUGGUUGUGCUUCUGGAUGGUGUCUGGCGAGGCAUGUGACACAUUCACGACGGAUAUAUCUAUGCCAUUUUCUUUAUGAUGUGUGCUUGUUUGGGAUGUUGGGAUGAUGCUGGUCUGAUGGAAUGAAAUGGAAGGCUUUUCCUCUUCAUCCCCUUUUUGGGAGGGUGUGCGAAUCACGGAUUUUAAUUAUCUUUUAAGUGGAGUUCUCACCUGUAGAGCCAUCUGGUCCUGGACUUUCCUUCUUGUCUUUUUUGUUUGUUUCUGUUUCCCUGCAACUACAGUCUCUUUUCAAAUUAUAAGUGUAUUCAGAGUUUCUUGUUUUACUGUAUUCAGUUUUAGCGGUUUGCGUCUUUCUGAGAGUCAAUCCACUCUAUCUAGGUUGACCAAAUCCCCGUGCCUGGUUUUUCCCUAGUAUUUUUGGUUUAUUAUUUUGGCAAGGUUGGUAGUGAUGUCCUCUCUGUCAUUUCUGUUGUCAAGUCAUUUGAGUCUGUUCUCCUUUUCCCCCCCCCUGUUUCCUCUUUUGUCAGUUUCACUGAGUUUUCAAGAACUGUAUUUUGGUCUCAGUGAAUGUCUUUUGUGAUAUUUUCUAUGCUGCUGGGUUGAUUUCCAUUUGAAUCAUUUUCCUCCUUCCGGUUUCUUCAGAUUUACUUUGCUGUUCUAGUGUUUGAAGGCAAAAUUGGGUUUAUGGAUCCGAUGUCUGUAUUCUGUAAUAUAUAGCUGUAGAGCAAUACAGUUUCUCAUGUGAAAUUGGUCCUGUCAACAUGGAAAACUGUAUGGGUGUACCCACUACUGGGAACGUGUUGAAGGAAACGAAAUCAUUGUGUAGACAGAGAGGCUUUCGCAGGCCUAUGCUUAUUGCAGUAGGAUGCACAAAAGCCAGGCUAUGCAGUCUGCAGACGCAUGUAUGGUGUCCAUAGCCCAGAAUGUCUUUAUUCAGUCUUGAGGUGAUCGGCAUUUUGGCUGAUGGCAUAUCUUUGCUCUUGUGGGUUGAGCUGUAGUAAAUACGGGGGCAGAGAGAACUCUUUUUUGUAUGCUGAUUUCAUUUCCCUUGGGUACUUUCCCAGAGCUGGAGUGGCUGGCUCAUAUGCUACGUCUGUAUUCAGAUUUCUGACUUAUCUCCAUACUGUCUUCCACAGUGGUGAUACCAGUUCACAUUCCCACCAGCAGUGGAUUAGGGUGCCUUUUCCCUCACAUCCUCAAGGCCAUUGUAAUAUCGGUUUGCAUUUCCCUGAUGGCUAGUGAUCCUGAGCAUGUUUGCAUGUGUGUGUUGGCCAUGAAGAUUCCCUUUCUUGAAAUAGUUUGCUUGUUGAAGUCCCUUGCCCAUUUCUUGAGUGGGUGGAUUGUUUUGCUGGUGUUGAGCUUCUUGAAAGUUUCUGGUAGUUGAUUCUUUAUCAGCUGCAUGCUUUGCAACCGUUAGUUUGCCUCUUCACUUUGCUGAGUGUCUCUUUGGCAGUGCAGAAGCUUCUCAAUAUGUUGUUGUUGUUGCUGCUGUUGUUUGGUGUCCUCUUCCAUUUCCUUGUUUAAUCUUUUGUGUUUCUCAGAUAUUGAGCAUCCUUGGUUCAAUUUAUUCCAAGCUCUUUCAUUUGCUUUGUAGCUAUGUGAACAGGAUUGGUCUUUGAAGUCCUUUCUCAGCCGUGACAUUGUCUGUGUAUACAAAUAGGCUGCUGAUUUUCUCUCCUGCCACUUUACCACACCCUACUCUGGGUUUUGAUAGUCUCGUAGUGGGGUCUUUAGGAUCUCCUAUAUAGAGAAUCAUGUCAUCUGCAAAUAGGGAUAGUUGGACUUCCUCCCUCCCAAUUUGUAUCUAACAUUGAGGAAUGAGAGAAAAAGUAGCAACAUGAUAAUGAAUGUGCACGGAGCAAAUGUCAGCAGUGACCUCCGAUGCUACCUUUCUGUAUUCUCUCUUGCUUUGUGGGAGACACGAUUUGGCCUGUGUCCGACAUGAUCCAUACUUUAAAGGCAGGGCUAGACUGUGGAGGGCGGUGAGUGGAAGCAGACCUGUGUUCCGUGGAGAACUCUGUAGAUCCCAGGUGUUUCAAGUCCUUGUGUGCGUGGGUACGUAAGUGUCUGAAUAAGUACAUUCGAAAGAUUUCCUCAUGCGCAAGUCAGAGAUAAUGCCACGCGGAAUGUUUGUAAGGAAGAAGAGAAUGACUGGGUACCAAAAUCUUUUCUAAGACCCAGUUAAACUCUUUUUCAAAUUCUGGGUUAAUAGGGUAGGUAAUGUAAAUAAUACCAAUUUCUAAAAACAAAAAGAAACUCUAGGAGAUGGCCUUGAUGUGGUUUUUU